GUUGGGGUAGGUCAACAAGUGAAGUAGUUAAAUGGAAGCAAACAGUGAAAGAAGUGAACAAGGAACUUAAAAGUUUUAGAAAAGGGAUGGGAUAACGUGCAGGUAACAUGCCCUUACUGAGAAAGACAACAUGAAAGGAAGAUGAAGCCAAACAAAUAAUGCAAGAAUAGGACAACCCAUCAAUUGAUACAUUAUUAUUUGUUCUUACCAGGAUUAUUAACUUGUAAAUUUCAUCUUCUUAUCCAGUUAAUCUAACAACUUACUGAAAAAUGGAGGAGAAAAAAUCAUCCUCUGUCUCAGAUGUUGGAGCUUGGGCUAUGAACAUUAUCAGUUCCACUGGAAUCAUAAUGGCUAAUAAACAACUCAUGUACCCCACCGGUUUUUAUUUUGCUUUUGCAACAACAUUGAGUGGCUUACACUUUUCUAUGACGGCCUUGGUUGGCUUGGUCUCAAAUGCUUCUGGUUAUUCUGCUUCUAAGCACAUUCCCUUGUGGGAACUUGUUUGGUUCUCAAUUGUUGCCAAUGUUUCAAUCACAGGGAUGAACUUGAGCCUCAUGCUCAACUCUGUUGGAUUUUAUCGGGUUUUGUAUUCCUUUUCUGUUCCUUCAACUAUACAUAUAUACAUACAUGUCUAAUGUGUUAAACCUUAUGUUUCUGCAAUUGUUUUUUCAUGUGUAGAUUUCAAAUUUAAGUAUGAUCUCUGUGGCUUGUGCAAUGGAAUGGUUUCUUCACCGCAAACACUACUCCAGGGAAGUCAAGAUGGCUGUCAUGAUAGUGGUUGUGGGUGUUGGUGUCUGCACCAUCACCGAUGUAAAUGUUAAUGCUAGAGGAUUUCUCUGUGCUUGUGUGGCAGUCUUGUCUUCAUCUUUACAACAAAUUGUGAGCUUUCCUCUUCAUCUUUCCACUUGUUUUUAUUGUUAUGAUAACUUUCAACUUAAUAAGUGGAAUUGAGCAUCUGCAAAUUCUCCAUUAAAGAGUACCUAAUCAUUUUUCAGUUGUUUAUAAAUGGCUUAAAUAACUUGUCAUAGUCAUUUUAGUCCUGUCAGGAUAUGCUAAACACACCAUUUAUGGAUUAAGCUAGACUACAGAUGCAAGUUUACCAAUUUGAUAGGAUUCAGAUAGCAGUUAUGUUCAUCUGAUAGAUUUCCAAAAUAACAAACGAGCAAAUUCUUUAUCGUUCCAUUCUUACGUGGAUCGAGAAAUGAGAAUGCUUACUGCUUUCUGUGUGCGCUCACCUGGAAAGGCAUGAUCUGAAAUAAACAAUCUGUUACUUUUUGCUGCUGGGAACAGUCAAUUGGCUCAUUGCAGAAGAAGUAUUCAAUAGGCUCUUUUGAACUGCUAAGCAAGACAGCUCCAAUACAACAGAUCCAUUCAUUGAUAACUACCUCAGUGGUAAACUUAUAUCAAAUUAUGCAUUAUCACCUGGUGGAUUUGUAAGUAUUUGCAUCUCUUGAGAAAAAAAAAAUACAAAUCCUUUUCUGCUCUCUUGACAUUAUAUAUUUCUGAUGCGAGUGUAAACAGUCUUCAGUUUUUCAUACUAGUGUCAUGCUCCCUGGCUUUAUUCUGCAAGGCGAGUUAGUAUCUGUGCACCGGACUUUUCUCUGCAGUAUCUUUCCAGGUUUUGGGGCACAUGAAAACUGUGUGUGUCCUUAAGUUGGGGUGGAUAGUCUUUGAUUCAGAAAUGACAGUGAAAAAUGUAAUUGGGAUGGCUGUUGCAGUUGCUGGAAUGGUGGUAUACAGCUGGGCAGUAGGGCUUGAGAAGCAAACAAGAACCAAGUUCAUCCCUGCUUUGAAACCCAAUUUAUCACAAGAGGAAAAGAAGGAGAAGACUCCAUUGAUUAAGGAUGUUGAGCUUGGCUAGUCUAAAGUAUAAAAUUAGUGUGUAUUCUCUGGCUACAAAGAAUUACAUUAACUACAGUUGCUUCAACAUUCUUUGCACCUACUCUACUCCAAAUGUGAAAGAACUUUUCUUCCCCCAUUUUUGCAGCUGUUAAAUUUUCUUUUAGUUGUUCAGAGGUCAUGUAUGUUAAAGUUGCACAGCACACAAUUUCUUCUUCUUCUUCAACGUUCUUUGUUAUUGGCAAUAUGUGUAUCCAUGAAUUCAGAAAAUAAAUGAAAUAAAAA
rnacentral:misc_RNA from 1 species